UAAAAAAAGUCAAAACAAAUUUCCAAUAAAACGGUGAGCUAGACAUCCAGAAUUUCAUAUACUGUAGUCUAGUCACAAUCAAUGAACCCCACCAUUAAUGAUUUCACAAAUAUGAGGUAAAUGCAACUUAAUACACAACUAUUUGAUAAUGUCCGUCCAAAGUUGACCCUCUCUUUCCACUUUCUUGGCAAAGAGGCAUAGACUUCUUAGGAACAAAAACAGGACCCUUGAUGGAAUGUAGCAGAAGUUCCAGGUUGUCGAGGUCACAACAUAUAUUGCUUUUAUCAGAAUCUGUGAGUUCAGAUUGUACCAGAAUGGCUGGAUAUGAGAGACUCUCCCGAUCCAUGAGCCUGGAUAGGGAAUAUGAUUUCAGUGAUCAAGAUCAACACGAUAAGAAGCAGCAUAAAAGAGGUCUAGGGAUUCUUAGCAAGGUAAUUUUACCAUUCAAAAAAAUCUCCAAUCCACCUGAGGAGUCACCACCCAAGGUGGCAGAGAAGAAGGAGAAGAAAAGAUCCUCUUGGCUUCCAGAUCCGGAUAAACGGUGGCCAAUUCAGGGUUGGUGACUGAUUUUUUAUUUUAUUUUUUCUGGUUUUUGUGUUUCCAUUUUCAAGUGAAGUGGUAGAUACUAGAUAGAUCCAAGGCAAAAACGUGAAUAGCUUUUGUAAUCAGCUUUUUAUGGCAUAUUUGCAAUUGGAAUUCAUCUUUGCUUCUGUAUCUAUUUUGUCUAAUGGAUGAACAUUCUUAUGAUUGUUAAAGAAUGAUUCUAGUCAAAAUACUUGUUCUGCUUUGGUUGUAAAUUACUCUAACCAUACAAGGUUUGUUUGUGUUUUCAUCAGUUUAAUUUUUAACUUUUAUCUUAAUA